rnacentral:rRNA from 1 species
UCAAGAUAGGAAGGGCACAUGGUGGAUGCCUUGGCACCAGGAGUCGAUGAAGGGCGUGAACGGCUGCGAUAAGCCGCGGGGAGGCGCUGAAUAGCCUGUGAUCCGCGGAUUCCCGAAUGGGGAAACCCAGCGCUGGUAAUACGGCGUUACCGCAUGCUGAAUACAUAGGCAUGCGGGGGCAAGCCGGGGAACUGAAACAUCUCAGUACCCGGAGGAAAGGAAAUCAACCGAGACUCCCCGAGUAGUGGCGAGCGAAAGGGGAAUAGCCCAAACUUCGUACGUGUAAGCGGCCACGCGUUGCGUACGAGGGGUUGUAGGGCGCCUGUCCGGGAUGUGGCUGUCCCGGCGAGAGUUACAAAGCCGAUCGGUAGUUGAAGCGCGUGGAACCGCGCACCACAGAGGGCAAUCGUCCCGUAAGCGAAACCGACCGGCCUCUCGAUGGCGUUCCUGAGUAGGUCCGCACCCGUGAAACGCGGACUGAAUCUGGGGGGACCACCCUCCAAGGCUAAGUACUCCCUGGUGACCGAUAGCGGACUAGUACCGUGAGGGAAAGGUGAAAAGUACCCCGGAAGGGGAGUGAAAUAGUACCUGAAACCGCGUGCCUACAAGCGGUCGGAGCGGCCUCGUGCCGUGACGGCGUGCUUUUUGCAUAACGAGCCGGCGAGUUACUCGUCUGCGGCGAGCUUAAGCGAUGAGCGAAGGCGUAGCGAAAGCGAGUCCGAACAGGGCGACAUAGUCGUAGGCGGUAGACCCGAAACUGAGCGAGCUACCCAUGGGCAGGUUGAAGCGGGGGUAAGACCCCGUGGAGGACCGAACCGACCUAGGUUAAAAACUGGGCGGAUGACCUGUGGGUCGGAGUGAAAGGCUAAUCAAGCUCAGAGAUAUCUGGUUCUCUCCGAAAUAUAUUUAGGUAUAGCCUCGGAUCAAUUCCGUGGCGGCCGUAGAGCACUGUUUGGUCUAGGGGGCCUACCAGCUUACCGAAAUCAGGCAAACUCCGAAGACCGUCACGGCUACUCCGGGAGUCAGUUGCUGGGGGAUAAACUUCAGCGUCAAGAGGGAAACAGCCCAGACCGCCAGCUAAGGACCCUAAGUGCUAGCUAAGUGGCAAACGAUGUCCGAGUGCAUAGACAACCAGGAGGUUGGCUUAGAGGCAGCCAUCCUUGAAAGAGUGCGUAACAGCUCACUGGUCAAGUGUUCGGGCGCGGAUAAUGUAACGGGGCUCAAGCUAGCCUCCGAAGCUGCGGGUGCGUCGCAAGACGCGCGGUAGGAGAGCGUUCCCAUGGCAGUGAAGCGGCGGCGGAAGCCAGCCGUGGAGCCCUGGGAAGUGAGAAUGCCGGCAUGAGUAACGAAAGAGGGGUGAGAAUCCCCUCCGCCGAUUGCCCAAGGAUUCCUGAGUAAAGUUCGUCUGCUCAGGGUUAGUCGGGACCUAAGGCGAGGCCGAAAGGCGUAGUCGAUGGACAACAGGUUGAUAUUCCUGUACCACGUCGGAAUCAUUUGACCGAUGGGGGGACGGGGAAGGCUAAGCGAACCCAGGCGAUGGUCGUCCUGGGCCAAGCAUGUAGGGGUGGCUUCAGGCAAAUCCGAAGCCGCAUAACCUGAGGUGUGAUGGCAGCUGGCUAUAAGCCGGCGAGUCGCAGACGCCAUGCCCCCGAGAAAAGCCUCUAGGGAGAUUUCACGUGCCCGUACCAAAACCGACACAGGUGGGCAAGUAGAGAAUACUAAGGUGAUCGAGAUAACCCUCGUUAAGGAACUCGGCAAAAUCGCUCCGUAACUUCGGGAGAAGGAGCGCCCCGGUAGGGUGAAGCGCCUUGCGCGUGGAGCCCGAGGGGGCCGCAGUGAAUUGGUUCAAGCGACUGUUUACCAAAAACACAGGUCUCUGCAAAGUCGUAAGACGACGUAUAGGGGCUGACGCCUGCCCGGUGCCGGAAGGUUACGUGGAGGUGUUAGGGCUUCGGCCCGAAGCACUGAAACUAAGCCCCGGUAAACGGCGGCGGUAACUAUAACCGUCCUAAGGUAGCGAAAUUCCUUGUCGGGUAAGUUCCGACCUGCACGAAUGGCGUAACGACUU